rnacentral:ribozyme from 1 species
AGACAAAAAAAAAAAUCUAUUGAAUGCACGUGGUAUUAUUACAUUGGAUUGCUGUCUUUGUUGUUGUUGUCUUUUUUUUUUGUUUUUU